rnacentral:miRNA from 1 species
UAGGGGGAGCGGUUGGAGGACU